rnacentral:rRNA from 1 species
GAUGAACGCUGGCGGCGUGCCUAAUACAUGCAAGUCGAGCGAACAGAUGAGGAGCUUGCUCCUCUGACGUUAGCGGCGGACGGGUGAGUAACACGUGGAUAACCUACCUAUAAGACUGGGAUAACUUCGGGAAACCGGAGCUAAUACCGGAUAAUAUAUUGAACCGCAUGGUUCAAUAGUGAAAGACGGUUUUGCUGUCACUUAUAGAUGGAUCCGCGCCGCAUUAGCUAGUUGGUAAGGUAACGGCUUACCAAGGCAACGAUGCGUAGCCGACCUGAGAGGGUGAUCGGCCACACUGGAACUGAGACACGGUCCAGACUCCUACGGGAGGCAGCAGUAGGGAAUCUUCCGCAAUGGGCGAAAGCCUGACGGAGCAACGCCGCGUGAGUGAUGAAGGUCUUCGGAUCGUAAAACUCUGUUAUUAGGGAAGAACAAAUGUGUAAGUAACUAUGCACGUCUUGAUGGUACCUAAGCAGAAAGCCACGGCUAACUACGU